UGCAUACAUAAUUUUCAGUUUUUUUCAGGAUAUAAAAGGCGGAUGGUUUCUUGUCAGGUUAUCAGUUUUCUUUUGAACUUCAAGUUUUAACAAAGUAUAAAAAUGAAAUUCGUUUUUGCGCUUUUUGUCGUGGUAGCCAUGCUGGCAACAUCAGUCGUCUCCGGCGCAUGGUUGCCAGGCGUGACUUCUCCUAACCUGGCCGCCGCCGCCGCCGGCGUGACCCCACCCAGUGCCGUCGGCAAGGUGGUCACUGAGGGUGCACGAGCAGUAGACGAGUGGUUUCCCGAUGAUGGAUUCAGCACCACCCCAAGUGAUUACUGAAACAGUUCCUGAUACUUACUGGUAGUUUUCGGUGUUUAAUUAUGAAUUCCGAAGAGAACCACUUGGACCGAACCACGAACGUUCUAAUUCAUUUAUAAUUAACAAAUGUCCUAACUAAUUAUCUAUAUAACUUGUCUUAUUAAAAAUCAUUCUUUUGAAAAAAA